CAUAGCGGUAAUGUCUUUGCGGUGCGCGUGACACGCCGUUGCGAGUACGAACGGGAUCGGUAUUCUUUUGUUUCCCUUCCUUUUUUUUUGUUUUGUUUUACUCGGAAAACACACUCUUUCCGUACGAGCGGCUGGGAGACACUAUUUCGAAAAUAGCUGGUGACCGUUAUUACAUUUUUGUUUUGUGUCGAACAACGCCGUGUCUCGUUACCAGAAUGUCGUCGACCUCUCAAAAGAAAUAAAUAACGAGGUAUAUAGACAGCUCACCUGCUGAGAUCGCGUGGUAACUGCUGAAUUUGACGUGCAUCAGUGGUGCAUAACAGUGCUUUUUGUGAACUGCGGAAGAAAAUUUUCUAAAAUUCGUUUGAAAAAAGUGCAAAUACGAUAGUGCCACCGCUCAAUGCGGACAGGAAUAUACGUGGAGCCAACGUCCACAGGAAUUCUCCGUCGUUCCUGCAGCCGCCCAAGGAUGCCAGAGUGGCUGAAGAAACGGUGACACUCCGACCUGUAGCGGCAAGACUUGUCAAGGACGCGGUCUCCCCCCCCCCCCCCCCCGCCACUACUCCGAGCAGGAAAGAGGAGGGGGCGAAGAGCGUGCAACAGCGGACGGCUGCAGUCUCGCCGGAACGGCGAGCGGGAGGGAGAACAACGACAAAAAAGCAACGAAGUCUGAGCAGCAGUGCCCCGUCCUCGCUUUUAAUUUAUUCCUGUCUGGGAAGAGAAAGAGAGGGAUUAAGACGUGCAGACCGCGAGCUGACGGAGAGGGGAACGAGACAAUAAUCUCUCGCUGCGCGGCCUGAAUGAAAUGAUUUAUCUCCCCCUUGCGUGAUAUUGCCCCAUUCUGAGUGCGGCAUAUCUUCUGGCACAGGUCCUUAAGCUCUGGAGCAGCGAGAAUCCUUUCCUACUUUUUUUCCCCCGCUGUCGCGACGGAAGAAGACAUUCUUGAUUCGACAUCGAACGAUACGGGUGACGUCUAGUGCCUUCAGAGCGUUUUUUUUAUAUAUAUAUUGAUAAUACUGUCAAAUAUGAGCAGAGAUUCUCUUUGACAGUGUGAGGAAGAAAAAAAGAAGCAACAGAUACAAGCGGCUUGUAAUAUCUGUGCGUUUUCCACAGAGGUAUAAACUCACUCAGAGUAUAUAUUGUGCGGUUUUGUUUUUGUGUGUGUGUGUGUUUUUUUUUUCUUGCGCGAGAAGUGCUCGAUCGCUCCGUCGUUUCGGUUCGUUUCGCGAAGUUUUUCCGCGAAAUUCUGCGCUUGCCGGUUUCGUUCGUCGCGCCGCGUUUUCCGAAAAUUUGUUAACCGUUUUGCUGA